UUUCCGUAGGUGAACCUGCGGAAGGAUCAUUACCGUAAAACCGAGGUGCGAGGGCUGUCGCUGACCUUUUCGGUUGUUCACGCCCGAGCGCUCUCACACAGUCCAUCUCACCCCUUGUGCACCGCCGCGUGGGUCCCUGUCAGGCUCGUCCGGCGGGGCGCUCGCGUUUGCACACAAACUUGAAGUAGUGUAGCAUGUCCUUUUUUUGCGAUAACACGCAAUCAAUACAACUUUCAACAACGGAUCUCUUGGCUCUC
rnacentral:misc_RNA from 1 species